UACGGAGGGGGCCAGCGUUGUUCGGAAUUAUUGGGCGUAAAGCGCACGUAGGCGGAUUGCUAAGUCAGGGGUGAAAUCCUGGAGCUCAACUCCAGAACUGCCUUUGAUACUGGCGAUCUCGAGUCCGGGAGAGGUGAGUGGAACUGCGAGUGUAGAGGUGAAAUUCGUAGAUAUUCGCAAGAACACCAGUGGCGAAGGCGGCUCACUGGCCCGGUACUGACGCUGAGGUGCGAAAGCGUGGGGAGCAAACAGG
rnacentral:rRNA from 1 species